GAGCUGUUAGCUCAGCUGGUUUAGAGCACUACCUUGACAGGGUAGGGGUCACUGGUUCGAAUCCAGUACAGCUCAC
rnacentral:tRNA from 1 species